UGUAGAGCUAACACUUGUAGCUAGAAAAAAAGUAUGGUUACAGAAGCAUUGAUGAAAACUGAAACCUAAGAGAGGAAGGCCUUUCCUCAGGGAAACAUAUGACCCAGUACAGCAAAAUCUGAAAGAAUAGUGAGGUAGAUAUGAAGAAGAGGGGAUUAAACUGAAGAGAAGUAGAAAAGGCAAUCCAGAGUUGAAAACAGUGUAGAAAAGUCAUCGAUGGCCGAGGCUCCAGAGGGAAGAAUGGGCUUGAAGAUUGUAGUCAGCUUGAUACAAGUUCCAUAAAACUGUAGUAAGAUCAGUUUGGUAAUAGUCAAUCGAUCACCACCAGAUUGCCGACACAUCGUGCUAUUGUCAGACAAGCAAACCCCUGCACCUUCGUAUGCGAACAGAAUAUGCAGUAUCAAGUGUCUUUAGGGUGAGCAGAAAAUAGUAGUAGUAGUAGUAGUAGUAGCGGUUGUGGUGUGUGAUGGUGAAGGUAAUAGUAUUGAUAGUAAUCGUAGUAUUUGUGACCGCAGUAGCGGCGAUGUGCAAUUCAUGGUGAUGCUUAAUAGCUACAAUGGUAGUAAUUUUAAUAGUAGUAAUAGUGAAGUGCUAGUAGUAGUAGUAGUAGUAGUAGUAGUAAUAGAAAUGGUGGGUAUUGGUAGGGGUUAUGGAUGAAGGUAGCAAUAAUUGUAGUACUGGUGGUCGUUGUGACCACGGUGAUGCUAAUAAUUGCAUUGACAGUCGUCGGGAUGGCAGUACUAGUAGCAGCAGCAGCAGCAGUAGCAGCAGCAGUAGUAGUAGUAGUAGUAGUAGAAGUAGUAGUGAUGGUGAUGACGGUGAAUGGUGAAUGGAGAAGGUUAUAUCUGUAGUAGUGGUUGUCGUGGCAACGAUGGGGGCUGCAGCGGUUGUAAAGUUAGGGGAAAUCGCAACCCUUACAGUGGUCAGAAAGGUUCUGGAACUAGUAGCCUCACUAAGAAUUACAGUAGUAGUAGUAGUAGUAGUAGUGGUGGUGGU